AUCCGCGCCUGCGCAGCCGCGGGUCGCCCAGGGUUGGGAUGUUGGUGUCGGCUGGGGGCUGCUGUGAGGCGCUUGGUAGCACCCAGUCCUGAUACUCUCCAGUUACCCGGUAGGCGGGGCUCGGACACAAAGAAAAGAGCCGAGGUUUCACCAAGUUGGUCAAGAUGGUCUCAAACUUCUGACCUCGUGAUCCGCCCGCCUCGGCCUCCCAAAGUGCCGGGAUUACAGGCGUGAGCCACCGCGCCCGGCCGUCUCCGAUCUUUACACGCAUUCUUCGUGUUAUCUGAAGACACUCUGACGCCACCACCCAAAGCAACUGGCAGUUGACUCUUGGCAAUUUUAAGCUUGUGUGGAAAGCAGCCGCCGCCCGGUAGCUCCUUUUUAUCUAGAGACACUCAGGAUGUGGGGGACACCCCAGCAAUGCCAUCCCUCCUUUGACCUCCAGAGCGCGCAGAAUUACAAAGUUGAGUAAUACUUUAUUUGAAAAAAUGAAAAGUGCACACACACACACACACACACACACUUACAUAGGCACAGUAUAAUCUGGAAGUAUGACCAGCAAAUGAUAACUGAUUCCCUCAGGGGAGAAGAAACUGGGUGGCUGAAGGACAGGAAUGAGAAAGAAGGACAGUUGCGUUUGUUUGUAUCGUUUGAAAUUGUCCAGUGUGUAUGUGUUCUUUUCAAAUGUUUGAAGAACCAUUGGCUCCCUUAUCAAAAUAGAUCUUUGGGGGCUUGGAUGGAGGAACAGGAAAAGAGGAGCCAGGCUUUUUUGGAAAAUUGGCGGCAGCGGUGGCAUACGGGAAACUGAAAUCUUUAUCUAAUCUCAUCCUUUGUAUAUUCGUCUUGGAUUUGCUGAAGAAAAUUAAAAGGCCAGGCCUACCACUCCUAUGGCACAGUAUUGAUGAGAGACAUCAGUGGAGCUCCCCACCUCCACCCCAGGCUUGGAACUUAGGGAAUGACUGGUUUUUGUCAUUUCACACAACAGCUGAAGGAUUCUGUCCCCACCUCGUCCUCUGUGAAGUCUGCUGGACGUACCUGCCAGAAUCUUCUGAAGAUGACGUUUGCUGAACACUGACCCACAGGGGUUUGAUGGAUUAUUGACAAUGAGACAAGCUGUCUUUUCAUCAAUUAGAUAUUCCAGUUGUUUCAGGUCAAUUUCCCAAGAUUUCUCUGGCUGGAGAGAAAGAAAGGAUGAGACUAAGAUGAUUCUGAAACAUUUAGGGGGAAUCCUCACUUAUCUCAAGGGUCCAAUGUAAGCAAUAAAGUCUGUCUCUGGCUUCAACCACCACUUUGAGACCUUCCUCUGCUGAAGUAAUGUUCAUAUAUUUUUUACAGGUUAGUAACUGAGCAUUUGAG
rnacentral:lncRNA from 10 species